rnacentral:rRNA from 1 species
GCGGCGGACGGGUGAGUAACACGUGGGCAACCUGCCCGCAAGACCGGGAUAACUCCGGGAAACCGGAGCUAAUACCGGAUAACACCGAAGACCGCAUGGUCUUCGGUUGAAAGGCGGCCUUUGGGCUGUCACUUGCGGAUGGGCCCGCGGCGCAUUAGCUAGUUGGUGAGGUAACGGCUCACCAAGGCGACGAUGCGUAGCCGGCCUGAGAGGGUGACCGGCCACACUGGGACUGAGACACGGCCCAGACUCCUACGGGAGGCAGCAGUAGGGAAUCUUCCGCAAUGGGCGAAAGCCUGACGGAGCGACGCCGCGUGAGCGAAGAAGGCCUUCGGGUCGUAAAGCUCUGUUGUGAGGGACGAAGGAGCGCCGUUCGAAGAGGGCGGCGCGGUGACGGUACCUCACAAGAAAGCCCCGGCUAACUACGUGCCAGCAGCCGCGGUAAUAC